AGGUGAUGAGGCUUUAUAUCUGCUCACAUCGGAGCAGCUGUGGAUGUAAACCGCUCAGACGAUGGGCUGUAUUGACCUCUAGCAGGAACUCAGUGAUGGCACAUCACCUGGCGUUGACCUGAGUGACUGACAUGAGAGAAAGACAGAAAACCAGUGUUAGUAUCUGAUAUCAGGAGCAUCAACUCAUCAGAGUCAAACCACCACAUCAAGAACAUUUAAGCCAACUCGGCAAACAUAGAAACGAGACAAUUAGUAACUAAAUAAACAGCAGAGCUCGGCUCACCUGUGGUCUCCAGCGCCCAUCUCCUCGUCACCUUGUUAUAAUGAGCAGCCAGAUCACACCAGUAGUUUCCAGAGUCC